CAGAGCAUAGUUAAACCGCAUAACGCUUCCCCUACACUGAAGUAUUACUCGUGAAAAUCGGGUGGCUCUGA
rnacentral:tRNA from 1 species